rnacentral:rRNA from 1 species
GAUGAACGCUGGCGGAGUGCCUAACACAUGCAAGUCGAGCGGCAGCGCGAGUAGUUUACUACUUGGCGGCGGGCGGCGGACGGCUGAGUAACGCGUGGGAACAUGCCCCAAAGCGAGGAAUAACUGCCCGAAAGGGUAGCUAAUGCCGCAUACGAUCUUCGGAUUAAAGGAUUUAUCCGCUUUGGGAGUGGCCUGCGUACGAUUAGAUAGUUGGUGAGGUAAUGGCUCACCAAGUCUACGAUCGUUAACUGGUUUGAGAGGAUGAUCAGUCAGACUGGAACUGAGACACGGUCCAGACUCCUACGGGAGGCAGCAGUGAGGAAUCUUCCACAAUGGACGAAAGUCUGAUGGAGCAACUCCGCGUGCGGGAUGAAGGCCUUCGGGUCGUAAACUGCUUUAUGAGUGAAGAAUAUGACGGUAACUCAUGAAUAAGGGUCGG